rnacentral:rRNA from 1 species
UACGGAGGGUGCAAGCAUUGAUCGGAAUUACUGGGCGUAAAGGGCGCGUAGGCGGCAAUAAAAGUCAGAUGUGAAAUUCUCGGGGCUCAACCCCGGAGCUGCAUUUGAAACUUUAUAGCUAGAGGUCAGUUAGGGAAAACGGAAUUCCACGUGUAGCGGUGAAAUGCGUAGAUAUGUGGAAGAACACCAGUGGUGAAGACGGUUUUCUGGGCUGAUACUGACGCUGAGGCGCGAAAGCAAGGGGAGCAAACAGG